CAUUGCGCGCUCCACAGUACAGGUAUGUUAUUGACAGAAUUUCAUGCUCCAUCAUUUGGUUCCCUUAAAUAGCUUUAGCCAUUUUGUGGUUUUUGUCAUCAUUGUCCUUUACACUGGUUUUUCUAGCAAAUAUGUGUGCAACUGUUCUGGAGGGAUUGGCUUAGGUAUCUAAAUGUUGUGUAAACGAAAAAGAUUUGGUCAUGCAUGUUGUUAGCUAAGUCAUUGUUUGCUGGUGAACUAAUUGACUCUGAUGACACUUUCACCGGCUUAAAGCUAGCUGUAUAAUAAUCAUUUCAUAUUUCCUGUUGUAGAUUUUUUUUACCCAAUUACAUUUCUCUGUUGCUGGCUUGCUGACAAUUGUGAUAUAAGAACACCAAAAAUUAAGCAAGUUACAAAGUGUAAAAUUACCUAUAGUACAUUUGCAUCUUUAAUGCAACAUGUAUAUGGCAAGUAUUUGUCAGAGUAUAAUCUCUAUUCUCAUUUUGUAUAUAGGUUUAUCCUGG
rnacentral:misc_RNA from 1 species